rnacentral:rRNA from 1 species
AUACGUAGGUGGCAAGCGUUGUCCGGAUUUACUGGGUGUAAAGGGCGUGUAGGCGGAGAUGCAAGUCAGGAGUGAAAUCUAGGGGCUCAACCCCUAAACUGCUUUUGAAACUGUAUCCCUUGAGUAUCGGAGAGGCAGGCGGAAUUCCUAGUGUAGCGGUGAAAUGCGUAGAUAUUAGGAGGAACACCAGUGGCGAAGGCGGCCUGCUGGACGACAACUGACGCUGAGUCGCGAAAGCGUGGGGAGCAAACAGGAUUAGAUGCCCUGGUAGUCCACGCUGUAAACGAUGAAUACUAGGUGUGGGGGGACUGACCCCCUCCGUGCCGCAGUUAACACAAUAAGUAUUCCACCUGGGGAGUACGAUCGCAAGAUUGAAACUCAAAUGAAUUGACGGGG